UACAGCCACCUCUCUCGAUAUCUCGCAACUCUCUUCUACCCUCUCUUCCCCGUCCAAUAAGAACCAUCGGCGUCAGCGUGGUGCUCUUACUCUUCUUCUCGAUGUGCAUCGAUGAUGGUCUUACGGGUGUCUUCACCUCCGGAGUUGAAGAACAUUAUCGGAGAUUCGUCGUAUUUCCAUCGGAGGUGAAGGCCACCCGCUAGAUCUUCAUCGAUUCCCUUUACAAAGACUUUACUCCAAAAGUUUGGUGAAAGCAAUCUUUGAAUUCACUGCGUAGAGAUGGACGAAAGCUCUUACUGAAGUUUCUGUUUUGCCUAGGUAGGAUCUACAUGCUGUUGCCGAUGGCAAUAUUGACUGUUAAGAGCUGGAGCUCGUUGAUUUUGGAAUGGAUGACGGCAUGGAGCCCGCAAUUGAGCUGGUUACUAGUUCCUUCUAUUCGAGAAAAUCAAUCCGACGAGCUCCAGAUUCAUCCGUGAAUGGAUUUUAGUUUCUAUUUGGUGAAAUUGAUUGUGUGAACGGAUUUUAGUUUCUUUUUCUUUCUAUUUUUCGUAAUGUUGAAGAAAAUUCAAGCUAAAAUGGGAGAAUUUGACCUGGAACCCUAAUUAAAUCAUAGAUUCAUCCGUCUAAAGGUAUCAAUGUCCACCAUUGGAUGGGUUCCCUACGAUAUCAUUUUGUAAAUUUUAAUGUACUGAUUUAUUGCAAGUUUGACACCGACAAAUUUGAUGUAUUCAUUUGUAUAAUGAAAAGUAAUUGUUAUUC